rnacentral:rRNA from 1 species
AUGCUGGAGGUAUCAGAAGUGCGAAUGCUGACGUGAGUAACGACAAAACGGGUGAAAAACCCGUUCGCCGAAAGACCAAGGGUUCCAGUCCAACGUUAAUCGGGGCUGGGUGAGUCGACCCCUAAGGCGAGGCCGAAAGGCGUAGUCGAUGGGAAAAUGGUUAAUAUUCCAUUACUUCUGUGUAAUGCGAUGAGAGGACGGAGAAGGCUAAAUCAGCCUGGCGUUGGUUGUCCAGGUGAAAGGAUGUAGGCAUGUAUCUUAGGCAAAUCCGGGGUACUCUAUGCUGAGAUCUGAUAGCAAGCUGUACUUGUACAGCGAAGUGGUUGAUGCCAUGCUUCCAGGAAAAGUCUCUAAGCUUCAGUUACACAGGAAUCGUACCCGAAACCGACACAGGUGGUCAGGUCGAGUAGACCAAGGCGCUUGAGAGAACUCUGCUGAAGGAACUAGGCAAAAUGGUACCGUAACUUCGGGAGAAGGUACGCUGUUGUUGGUGAUGGAACUCGCUUCCUGAGCUGACGACAGCCGCAGAAACCAGGCCGCUGCAACUGUUUAUUAAAAACAUAGCACUCUGCAAACACGAAAGUGGACGUAUAGGGUGUGAUGCCUGCCCGGUGCUGGAAGGUUAAUUGAUGGGGUUAGCGUAAGCGAAGCUCUUGAUCGAAGCCCCAGUAAACGGCGGCCGUAACUAUAACGGUCCUAAGGUAGCGAAAUUCCUUGUCGGGUAAGUUCCGACCUGCACGAAUGGCAUAAUGAUGGCGGCGCUGUCUCCAGCAGAGGCUCAGUGAAAUCGAAAUCGCUGUGAAGAUGCAGUGUACCCGCGGCUAGACGGAAAGACCCCGUGAACCUUUACUGCAGCUUGACACUGAACUUUGACCUUACUUGUGUAG